rnacentral:rRNA from 1 species
GACGAACGCUGGCGGCGUGCUUAACACAUGCAAGUCGAACGGAAAGGCCCUGCUUUUGUGGGGUGCUCGAGUGGCGAACGGGUGAGUAACACGUGAGUAACCUGCCCUUGACUUUGGGAUAACUUCAGGAAACUGGGGCUAAUACCGGAUAGGAGCUCCUGCUGCAUGGUGGGGGUUGGAAAGUUUCGGCGGUUGGGGAUGGACUCGCGGCUUAUCAGCUUGUUGGUGGGGUAGUGGCUUACCAAGGCUUUGACGGGUAGCCGGCCUGAGAGGGUGACCGGCCACAUUGGGACUGAGAUACGGCCCAGACUCCUACGGGAGGCAGCAGUGGGGAAUAUUGCACAAUGGGCGGAAGCCUGAUGCAGCAACGCCGCGUGCGGGAUGACGGCCUUCGGGUUGUAAACCGCUUUCGCCUGUGACGAAGCGUGAGUGACGGUAAUGGGUAAAGAAGCACCGGCUAACUACGUGCCAGCAGCCGCGGUGAUACGUAGGGUGCGAGCGUUGUCCGGAUUUAUUGGGCGUAAAGGGCUCGUAGGUGGUUGAUCGCGUCGGAAGUGUAAUCUUGGGGCUUAACCCUGAGCGUGCUUUCGAUACGGGUUGACUUGAGGAAGGUAGGGGAGAAUGGAAUUCCUGGUGGAGCGGUGGAAUGCGCAGAUAUCAGGAGGAACACCAGUGGCGAAGGCGGUUCUCUGGGCCUUUCCUGACGCUGAGGAGCGAAAGCGUGGGGAGCGAACAGGCUUAGAUACCCUGGUAGUCCACGCUGUAAACGGUGGGUACUAGGUGUGGGGUCCAUUCCACGGGUUCCGUGCCGUAGCUAACGCUUUAAGUACCCCGCCUGGGGAGUACGGCCGCAAGGCUAAAACUCAAAGGAAUUGACGGGGCCCCGCACAAGCGGCGGAGCAUGCGGAUUAAUUCGAUGCAACGCGUAGAACCUUACCUGGGUUUGACAUGGAUCGGGAGUGCUCAGAGAUGGGUGUGCCUCUUUUGGGGUCGGUUCACAGGUGGUGCAUGGCUGUCGUCAGCUCGUGUCGUGAGAUGUUGGGUUAAGUCCCGCAACGAGCGCAACCCUUGUUCACUGUUGCCAGCACGUUAUGGUGGGGACUCAGUGGAGACCGCCGGGGUCAACUCGGAGGAAGGUGGGGAUGACGUCAAGUCAUCAUGCCCCUUAUGUCCAGGGCUUCACGCAUGCUACAAUGGCUGGUACAGAGAGUGGCGAGCCUGUGAGGGUGAGCGAAUCUCGGAAAGCCGGUCUCAGUUCGGAUUGGGGUCUGCAACUCGACCUCAUGAAGUCGGAGUCGCUAGUAAUCGCAGAUCAGCAACGCUGCGGUGAAUACGUUCCCGGGGCUUGUACACACCGCCCGUCAAGUCAUGAAAGUUGGUAACACCCGAAGCCGGUGGCCUAACCGUUGUGGGGGAGCCGUCGAAGGUGGGACUGGUGAUUAGGACUAAA